rnacentral:rRNA from 1 species
UACAGAGGUCCCAAGCGUUGUUCGGAUUUACUGGGCGUAAAGGGUGCGUAGGUGGUGAGGUAAGUCUAAUGUGAAAUCUCCGAGCUCAACUCGGAAACUGCAUCGGAAACUACCUCGCUUGAGGGUUGGAGGGGGGACUGGAAUUCUCGGUGUAGCAGUGAAAUGCGUAGAUAUCGAGAGGAACACCAGUGGCGAAGGCGAGUCCCUGGACAACUCCUGACACUGAGGCACGAAAGCUAGGGGAGCAAACAGG